rnacentral:lncRNA from 1 species
GUGAGUGAUAACUGUCUUCAAAUAGCUGGGAGAAAGGGGGGAAUGCCGUUUCAUAGGUGGAAACCAUCACAUCUUUGAGUUUCUUACAUAGAGUGGUGUUAUGAAGACUGAAGGGAGCACAUAAGUCUGAGGUGACUGCACCAACAAUGUCAGAGAAUAGGUAAAUCAACUUUGUAGGGCCAUAGGGAGAGGAUGGUUGAUGAUGCUGGAAGACUAAAUUUAUGUUUUUUGUUCUUUGUUUUAAUAAUUUCAGGAUGAAUAAUUUGACCCUUUACAAUUUUGAAGGAACUGAAAUUAGACUGCUAAUGCUAUAGCAUUGUAUAGGACAAAGAGAAAUACAGACCACAGGCAAAACAGUGUAAAACAAAACAUAACAUAAAACAAAAUUUUAAACGCCCUCACAUUUUUGAUGUUAUUGCUAUAGGACAGUUAGGAAAUCAACACGGCUUAAAAUAAGACAGCAGAGAUACCUCUUUGGAUUUUUAUAGAGGUUCUAGAUUUAUGGCCUAGAUUAUGGAGUCAUCUGCAACGUCUUGGAUUCUGAUGUCAUAUCAGAGAAUGAAAUCCAUGGAGGGUAUUAGAGACAUAUUUGUGGUCUUGAUAUGGAACCUGAAAGAAAAGUUUAGCAUCAAAGUUAAAGUGGUAGAAAGGAGGCAUGGAAGAAGUGUUCAACACAUCUUGGGAAAAUCAAGAGGUCCAUCUUAUGGAUGGAAAGUGUUGAAGAAGGCAUUCAUCACCUAUUGCUCUGGCAUGUUUCUGCUCUAUAGCUGUUCUUCAGAUGUGACAAUGCCAAAGAUACCAGAUACUGCAACAUUUCAGAAGUCUUUGAAUUCACAUCUCUUUACUUAUUUAGAAUAUGUGAUUUCAUAGAACAAGAAGACUCUGGAUCUCUUUGCCAGAGAAGUUCGGAGGAAUGCUAAAUGAGGUUGGAGCUGAAGAUGAAGGUGUGUUAGUUUCACCUCUGCCAUCUUUAACAGUAGCCUUAGAGUCAGUGGGUUGUAGGCAUUUGCGUCAUUUUAUAUCUCUUUACAUUUCUUGUGUCACAAGUAAUUAUUCUCAUAAAACAAACGGCAAUUUGAUGGACCAAAAUG